CAAGAGCGUAUGUAAAAGUUGUUGCAGUUAAAAAGCUCGUAGUUGAACCUUGGGUUUGGUUGGCCGGUCCGCUUUUUUGCGAGUACUGGAUUCAACCGAGCCUUUCCUUCUGGCUAACCAGUCGUUUCGGCGGCUGGCGAACCAGGAUUUUUACUUUGAGAAAAUUAGAGUGUUCAAAGCAGGCAUUAGCUUGAAUAUAUUAGCAUGGAACAAUAGAAUAGGACGUUAUGGUUCUAUUUUGUUGGUUUCUAGGACCAUCGUAAUGAUUAAUAGGGACGGUCGGGGGCAUCAGUAUUCAGUUGUCAGAGGUGAAAUUCUUGGAUUUACUGAAGACUAACUACUGCGAAAGCAUUUGCCAAGGACGUUUUCAUUAA
rnacentral:rRNA from 1 species